UCUUCUACAGUGUUUCUCACACUUAGGAGGAAAUUCCACAAAAGUUCAUCACCAAUUUUAGAUUUUUUAAAAAAAAUUUCCAGUGGAAACAUUACAGCCACUAACCUUCUGGAGCACUGGUGACAUGACCUAUUACUCUAAAUAUUAUCUAUCACAAUUUAAUAUUGGACAAAUAAGCUCAAAACCCUUUGGUGAGGAUAAUAAUCUCAUUUAUGAGUGUUAUGUAAGUUAGUAUCAUAUGGUCCAGGUCUUUCAGUUUUACAAGAUCUUACUGCAUUCAGAGCAGUAGCCAAAAGCAGUUGUUCUUGCUCAAGGUACUUCAUCCUCCAGACUGAAAUGUGACAUAAUUAGAUACUUGAGGAAUAUUUCUCUCUCUGUGUGUAAAGUCAAUAGACUUUUUAUUAAGUUAAGUGUGACUAGUGUAAAACUUACACUGGGCUGGAACUUAUCUCUGUUUAGUUAGCAAAGCAAACUGUGACUGUUUAAAGUAUUAAAUUACAGAGAAAGACAUGAAUCUUUCUUUUAGCACUAAAAUUUGAGAAUAAAUCCAAUAUAUAAUAGUGUAAUGGAUGACUUUGUAUUCAGUUUGGCUUAAUAUUUACAUAGCUUGAAGACGAUUUUGUUUCUCAGGUAUUGGCUUUUUUAUUGUAGUUACACAUUACUAUGAAUUGUGCGUAUUUUACUAUCAUUUAUAAUGGCUACUGGCUUUCUAUUCUGGAAAAGAAUAACAAUAAUCACUUCCUGAUGCUUGGAAUAAAUCUAUAUAUGAAAAAAACUGUGAAAGUAAGAAGAUAUGAGUGUGGCAAGAGGCAACAAUGGGAAAAAAAUAACUGUAAGACAAGUGAAGUAGAGUCUGAAAAGUUUACCUGUUUCCUCAGAUCGCAUACCAUGUGUGGCAUUUAAUGAGGAAAGUGAUUCAAAUAUUAAGUGCUAGAUGAACUAUGGAAUGAAUUUAGGGUUUUCAUGGAAGGUAGAUGCAUAUUAAGCACAACAGGUAAGACAUUCAUCUAAAAAUAGAAAUUCUAUACUCAGCACUGGUGCGGCUGCAUCCUGAGUACUAUGUUCUGCUUUACACCCCUCACAACAAGACAUUGAAGCCCUAGAGCAUGUUCAGAGGAGGGCAAUGAAACUGUGAGGGAUCUGGAGCACAAGUCUUAUGAGAAGCAGCUGAAAAGGCUGGGGUUAUUUAGUCUGGAGAAGAGGACACUCAGGGGAGGCUUUAUUGCUUUUUACAACUACCUGAAGGGAGGUUGUGGUGAUGUGGGGGUUGAUCUCUUUUCCCAUGUAACUUGUGAUAGAAUGAGAGGGAAUAGCCUCAAGUUGCACCAGGGGAGAUUCAGGUUGGAUGUUAGGAAUUAUUUCUCUCAGAGGUGAUGGGCCCAGGGAGGUGAGUUACCAAACCUGAAAGUGUUCAAGAAAUGUUUAGAUGUUGUUUAGUGGUUUAGCGAGAGUUAUUGGUGAUAGGUGAAUGGUUGGAGUGGAUGAUCUUAAAUGUCUUUAUCAAGCUUGGUGAUUCUAUGAUUUUAUGUUUCUAUACAUUUCUGAUAAAUGUGUAGUAUCUUCUAUUGCAGUGCACUGGUGUUACUGUGCUUGCAUCCAGCCCCUCUUCACAAGCUUAUGUGAAUGACUUUUAAGAGGUGUAGAGUUCUAUUUAUGUGGAAGUAAGUGAAUAAUUCUGUAUAUUUGAUACAUCUGCUCUCUUAAUCACUUUAGUUUUCCAGCAGCAUAUUUUGAAUCCUAUGAUUUUUUUUUUUUGUUAAAACUUAAAUAGCUUUUUCUGUAUCCCUAUCAGAAUAAUGUUAUAAAUUUUCAGAAAAGUCUGUUUGCUGUAAGUAUUAAACAAACAGAAAUAGGCAUUUUUAUUUUGGAGAUGAUUUUUAAAGUAGAGAAUUUAAACAUUGUCCUAAAAUUUUUAUCAAGCUAAUCUAUUAUUGUCCCAGCUAUUGUAUCCCUGAGCUAUUGCAGGAAGGUUAUGAGCCCAUAAAAGUCUCUUCCACAUGAAGUUGAAGGAGCACACAGGUGCACUGGCAGGCAGAAGUUUUAUAGUAGCCCAAUCACAGGUAAGAACACCCUGCCCCAGCUCCUUCCAGAACUGUCACAAGAAACUAUUAGACUCACUGCCUGAAUGUGAAACCUGCCAAGAUGAAUCAAUGAGAGCAGAUCUCAAGAGGAGUGUGCAAACUAAGUGGCAUUAUGGAAUACAAGGAAGAACAUGAAGAAAUUUUUAAAAGCUAAUCACGAUUCAUUUAUGUGAAGGAACCAAAGGUGAGGAAAGGGAGGGGUCAAGGUAAUUUGGUGAGGAUUAAUUCUGGAAAAUAAAGGGAAAAGAGGUUAUGUGGGACUAGAUAUGUGUAAACUGGAACUGGUGAGUACUUGCCUCCAUGUCCCACAUUUGAUCACUGCAGUCUGCCUUCUCACACUAGACUCAAUUUGUAUUUUCCUGAGUGAGUGAGGGGAUCUCUGUUUUGUGUGCAUCUGUCUAUGCUAAUAGACAUCUAAGUACCAGCAACUGCAGUCAAACCGAGAAUCAUCCGAUUCACGUCUGUGUGGGACUAGCAACUGGAAGGACCAAGGCACGCAAGUCAGUGUGCGAUUGCCAGCAAAUAUCAAACUGGAUUAGUUAGUGAUAAGGUUAAGUAGCCUGUGAGCCAGGUACUAAAGUUGCAAGGCUAGGACAGAUAUGUGCAUCUGUGGAGGAGCUGCCUGCUGGAAGUACAACCCAGCUGCUGGAGAGAUAGCGGGAUCUGGGAAUUGACUGAGGCACCAAUCUGUAUGCAUGUGUGAUAUAUAAUACGUGCAUAUUUAAUGUUCUUUUCUGUAAAUCUACCCUUCUUUGAAUUGGAAAUUCUUACUCACAUUUGCUAAAUCUAUUUGUAAAGCAUAUAAAAUUGUCAUAUAGUUCUUUCACUAAGUCCCCGCUUGUAUAAGCAUAAAUACUUCAAGUCUUCUGACAUCAAGCCUCUCUCCAUUUUCUUCAUUUAUUCUUGUAAUUGUUUCCUGCAUAUACCUUGAUUCCACUUUAUCUUUUCUGACCUUUAGCCAUCCCAGACAUACUAAUUUCAAGAGAUCUUAACAGUGCUGACACAAGAGACAUUGAAAUUUGAAUUGUCUUUUUUAUGUCUCAUCUAUGUGACAAUGCCCAAUACAGUAUUAUCUUCUACAAAAAAAUUGCAAAAUUUCCAAUAAUCAGUUUGCCAUUGCAUUUGCAGAGUUAAUAGCUGGUGAGACAUUCCUUCUUUCACAAAAUGAAAACAGCUGAAGUUAUUGCAGAUUAUAUAUUUUUUUCAAACUUAGUAUGAGAAAGCAGAAAGUCAAUUUGAAAAGUAUAAUUCAAAUGUUCUAUUAAAAUUCUUAAUGUUUUCACUAUUUAAAUAGCAUUAGUUGUACUGUCUGCAUUAUUUUUAUAUGUCACACAAGAUGAAUGUAACUCUUCCUCCGCUUCUCAAGAAAAAUAACACAACCUGAGAAUUAAAAAAAUAAAACAAGAAGAAAGUCAAAUCAGGACAUAUCUGCUCUUAUACAUAUAUGCUAUGUAAAACAUCUUAGCAGAAAUAAUUGUGAUUUCCUUUGCUUCUGCGUAGAUGAAGAGUAUAUGCAUCUUUUCAGGCAUCUUGAUUCUAUCUAGAAGGAUUCUUUUAUGGGACUGAGUCCUGAGAAUCAACCUCCAGCUAAUGGUCAUGCUUUUUUUUGGGAGGAAAUAAGAAAAGUUUUGAGUUGAAAGGAGUGGCAAGAAGAAAAAAAUUUGAAGAGGAGACAUUCUGGAAUAUGAAACUGUUCUCUCAAUUUCCAGGAAGAGAUUCAGGAAUAGCACACUGAAGUAGCUAAGAGUGAUGGAUUGUGAAGAAAGCAGGAAGAAGACACUUCUUGACUAAUAAAUCAGAGUGCUCACUACAAUUCAUAUGGCUUCCAGUCUUGAAGAUUUCUUACUUUCUUUGAGUACAAUGUUCCUUAAGCACACUUUAAGGCCUCACAGAUGCCACUGUCCUAUAGCAGCACAGUGAAGCACUGAGAUACUCCCCAUAACCCCAUCCUGUCCAGAUUCCCAAUUCUGCAUCCCAGCAAUGUCAACUUUUGUCAGUAUCACUCUACUUGUCAAGUUUUAGGUAGUUUCUAACAUGGUUUGUGGUGGAUUCCUUUGCUGAUAAAUAUAUUUAUAUUUGAAUAUUUAUGAACACAUCAUACUUAAGGAACAUGCCAUUCCUGAAAUGAAACUGUACUUCACAGCUAUAACUGGAAAGAACACAGUGGGACUCCUUUUUGGAAAAAUUCACCCCAGCUAUUUCUUACCACGGAUCUGUGAUGAAAUGUCAGUGGGAACAAUGCUUUACAGACUUUUCAAACAAAAGUAGCCAACAAUAUGCUUUUUCUCUCUUAUAUGAAAUAGGCACAUAGGAGGGUAAAAAACACAUUCAAAUCUAUCAAGAGUACAUCUUUGCAUGAGUCUUCUUAUAACUUAUGUGUAAUUAUCUUUGGCUCUUAAGGUUAAUUUUUAACUUUUUCCUCCGAGUGUUUAUUUUUUAGCAUCAUUAUGCCUCUGUUAAUUUAAAAUCAUCAGAGCUAGUAUGUGCUUUAUGUGUGUGCUUUUGUAUAAGAAAAGAUUCUUAAAACAUGCAGCAUUUGGAAAAUGAAAGGAAGUAGAGGAAAGGAUGGAAGUUUGCAUGUGUUUUGUUGGGGGAUGCAAUUUAAAGAACACUGAGAACUAGGUAACCCCUUCUAUUUCCCACUUGUCCUCUCAAUUUCCUGAGAUAAGUUGCUCCGUAGUUCAAGCGGUACUUUGCCUAAUACACAUCUUGUAAAAGAGAUAUUUGGUCAGUAGAGGAGUCAGAGUACUAUGAAGCAAUCAGCCUCAUAACAUUUGGAAGGUUUCGGUUACAUGCAUACGAACAGUUUGUACACUUCAAUUGAUUUGGCAUAUACCAGAGAUUCAGGAAAACAUCUAAUUCUCUCUCCAGCAUGGUUUGAUCCAAGAAAUGGUGAUUUUUAUAUAUAUGUAUUUUUUAAUUAGUUUGACUUGUUUUUCAAACAUCUUAUUUUUCAAAUUUCAAAGACUUGAAGAUUAUAUCAAGGUUUUCCUCUUAACUCUUAAACUGCUAGCUGUUCAAAACAUACCUGAAAGUUUAAAAACGCUUAAAAAAUCUUUGAUGGUAGAAAGCUGAACUUCUUGCUUCAAAUACCACUGUGAGAGACAGUAAAGGAAAGUCUGGUAGCACCUCUUUUUCAUUUGCUGGGAGAAAUGUCACAAUUUUCAGAUCGACUGAAACAUCGAGAAAGGUGAAUGUGGAAGGUCUCAUAUAAUUGGUAGGAAUCAUUAAUAUGUAGAAGUACAUGAGCAUUAUUAAAUUUAAGAGAAAAACUUAGGCACAAUGAACCUGUAGGAGACAUCCCAACACAGUCAGCGAUAAUGUCAAGACUAGAGAUUCCUCACAAACUUUUAUUCUAUAGAGAAAGAAUCAAUAAUUAGGAAGCUUGGAAACAAAUCUUACAUUUUUCAUUUUCCUAUUUUUUCCUUCCUUAGCUUUAGCACUGAAGAGAAAAUCCAUAUGUGAGUUUUCACUGAGGCAUCUAAAUUAAGGAUUUCUAACUUUAAUAUAUAGGCAAUGACUUUAGUUACAAAGGUAUGUAUUCAUCUAACAUUCUGAGCAAAUAUUGUCUUUAAUAAACCAUAUUUGAAAAGAAGACAGAUUUCCUUUUAUAUAUCCUUUAUAACAACCUGACCUGCACACUACGUAGAUGCUGGAAAUCCUGAGGCAGUAAUGACAUCUGACUGAUUGCAAUACCACUGAUUCAACUUGUUGCAGUGCUGAGUCUUAUGUAGAAGCCUAUGGCGCAGCAACAGAAUUGCUUUCAGCUUGGCAAGAACAGCAUAAACAGUCCUAUGGGCUGAGAUUAUUAGUGCACAAGAGAACUGUAAACAACUUGACUUCAAGAAUCCCAGUUGAAUAACAUACUAUGUUCUACUUGUACUGCAGUUAUAAUGCUAAAUCUCAUGAUUGUAACCUUCACAAAGGAUAAAAGCAACUGAGAAAGUUGGUGCAUAGUACCCAAUUCUUUCUAUAUCAAACAUGCAGAAGGAAAAACUGUCAGUUUGAAAACAAAGAGAAAAAUCUCCUUGUCACUUAA